rnacentral:tRNA from 1 species
CACUAAGAAGCUAAUACGGAUAGCAUUAGCCUUUUAAGCUAAAAUAGGUGGUCACCAACCACCCUUAGUGA